GCCUAUCAGGCACCUAGCUCAGUCGGCAGAACAUGAGACUCAUAAUCUCAGGGUUGUGGAUUCAAGUCCCAUGUCAGGCA